UACGUAGGUGGCAAGCGUUGUCCGGAUUUACUGGGCGUAAAGCGCGCGCAGGCGGCCUUUUAAGUCUGCUGGUGAAAUGCCGGGCUCAACCCCGUGCCCGCCACAGAUACUGGGAGGCUGGAGACGAGUAGAGGCAAGCGGAAUUCCGGGUGUAGCGGUGGAAUGCGUAGAGAUCCGGAAGAACACCGGAGGCGAAGGCGGCUUGCUGGGCUCGGUCUGACGCUGAGGCG
rnacentral:rRNA from 1 species